ACGCUCGACACCUACGAGAGGCAGCAGUAGGGAAUUUUCGGCAAUGGGGGGAACCCUGACCGAGCAACGCCGCGUGAAGGAAGAAGGAAUUCGUUCUGUAAACUUCUGUUAUAAAGGAAGAACGGCGGAUAUAGGGAAUGAUAUCCGAGUGACGGUACUUUAUGAGAAAGCCACGGCUAACUACGUGCCUGCAGCCGCGGUAAUCUGAGCGGGCUGGCAAGGC
rnacentral:rRNA from 1 species